GACGAACGCUGGCGGCGUGCCUAAUACAUGCAAGUAGAACGCUGAAGGAGGAGCUUGCUUCUCUGGAUGAGUUGCGAACGGGUGAGUAACGCGUAGGUAACCUGCCUGGUAGCGGGGGAUAACUAUUGGAAACGAUAGCUAAUACCGCAUAAUAGCAGUUGUUGCAUGACAGCUGUUUGAAAGGUGCAAUUGCACCACUACCAGAUGGACCUGCGUUGUAUUAGCUAGUUGGUGGGGUAACGGCUCACCAAGGCGACGAUACAUAGCCGACCUGAGAGGGUGAUCGGCCACACUGGGACUGAGACACGGCCCAGACUCCUACGGGAGGCAGCAGUAGGGAAUCUUCGGCAAUGGACGGAAGUCUGACCGAGCAACGCCGCGUGAGUGAAGAAGGUUUUCGGAUCGUAAAGCUCUGUUGUAAGAGAAGAACGAGUGUGAGAGUGGAAAGUUCACACUGUGACGGUAUCUACCA
rnacentral:rRNA from 1 species